UGUCCCCAGCCCUGGACAGGCCCGGCCCCGCGCCCCGCACUGUGCCCCGUGCCCCGGGCGUGCAACCAGCCCUUACCUUGCAGCACCCGGCUGUCCCCCUGCUCGCUAAAGCUACUUAUCCCGGGAAAGCUCGCGAGGGGCCCGGGAGCGAACCCACAGACAAAAAGUGAAACUUCGGCAAGGCUGGAGCGGCAGCUGGACACAAAAUGUACUGGAUGUCGGAGCUGGCAAAGACAAACUUCCCAUCCGCCCACUUCACAUAGGCGAAAAGUGAAGAAGGUCUCGGAUGAGAAAUGACUUGUACAGGGUCGUACACGACACGAUCCGGACAUUGGACCUGGGUGCUCAGAUUCCCAAUCCUAGUUCCCCUGGCCAGUAAGGGCCCUGACUCCCUCCUUCCAAAGCAGUGAACCAGGUUAGAUGUCAGCGGGCCAAGGCCACGAAGACCACCCAGUGAAGAGAGUCAUUUCCUGGAAGGUCUGUCUGAUAACCCUGAAUAGCAGACUCCUCGAUUGCUUGAGGGUUACGUCCUCUAACCUGUCCCCAAAUAAAGGAACCCCUGGAAUUUAACGUUUAUUUCACAGCGGGGUCCAGAAGUCCAGAAACCUUAUGCUGUGCUUAUAGCUGCAAAAAAAAAAAAAUCAGCGAACUGGGUGAACUGGUUUAAAUAAAGGCAAGC